GGGUGCUCAGGAUCUUUUGGUUCUGAGUAUUACCAGGGCCGAAAGAGAAAGAGCCCCACCGGAAUAGUCAUUAACCACUGGUGAGGCCACUCUCAUGCCCAACAACAUGAAGGUAGCCUUUUACCUGCCGCGAGGCAACGGCUGGCGGCACG
rnacentral:antisense_RNA from 1 species